rfam:Vagococcus teuberi strain DSM 21459, complete genome.
AAAUCAAAGCAGAAGCACCCGCUUCUCGCCUUAACAAUAAAAAUUGUUGGGCUAGAUAACGUUUAGUUUUGAUAUUUUUAUCAAACACUAUUUUGGUGCGGGGUCUUUAUAUAAUAAUAAAGAACUCGUUUUUUUCUGUGU